rnacentral:misc_RNA from 1 species
CUGAAUGGCCUUCAACCUUGCAAACCUGCGGAAGCAAGAUGUGCUUCGGCGCCUCGGCGUCGCUUUUAUGCUUUACUCAGUCUUUUGUGUCUGAAUAAAAUACAAGAAAUA